UGGUUGUCGUCAGCUCGUGUCGUGAGAUGUUGGGUUAAGUCCCGCAACGAGCGCAACCCUUAUCUUUAAUUGCCAGCAUUCAGUUGGGCACUUUAAAGAGACUGCCGGUGUUAAACCGGAGGAAGGUGGGGAUGACGUCAAGUCCUCAUGGCCUUUAUGCUUAGGGCUACACACGUGCUACAAUGGGUGGUACAAAGAGAAGCCAACUCGCGAGAGCGCGCCAAUCUCAAAAAGCCAUCCUCAGUUCGGAUUGGAGUCUACAACUCGACUCCAUGAAGUUGGAAUCGCUGGUAAUCGCGGAUCAGCAUGCCGCGGUGAAUACGUUCCCGGGCCUU
rnacentral:rRNA from 1 species